GAGAAUAUCCAUUAAGGGAAGUGCUUCUUUCAGGAAUACUUUGAACAGCUGAUAACCUGCUGAAUAAGGUGAAGACUUAGCUAAUGCAUUCCACCUGCCAGAGUCACCAGGGGAACUCCAGAGACAAGCUUCAAGCUGCUCCCAAAGGCUUCUAGUAACACAUGCAUUGAAUUGAUAAACAGCAAAGGACUCCACUCCAUGGGCUUCAAAUUACCACCUGGGGAGAUGGAUAAAUCUUCCAACCCAUCCUCUUUGCUUAUUCUGGGAUUCUGAAAUAUGUUCAUGCAUCA